UUAUGUGCUUGCACAUUUUGGACGUCGACCGGCGCACGGGUGAGUAUCGCGUAUCCAACCUGCCCUUUACUUGGGGAUACCCCGUUGAAAGACGGCCUAAUACCCGAUGUAAUCCAUUGAUGGCAUCAGAUAUGAAUAAAAGAUUUAUCGGUAAAGGAUGGGGAUGCGUCUGAUUAGCUUGUUGGUGAGGUAAUGGCUCACCAAGGCAACGAUCAGUAGGGGUUCUGAGAGGAAGGUCCCCCACAUUGGAACUGAGACACGGUCCAAACUCCUACGGGAGGCAGCAGUGAGGAAUAUUGGUCAAUGGGCGCAAGCCUGAACCAGCCAAGUAGCGUGCAGGAAGACGGCCCUAUGGGUUGUAAACUGCUUUUAUACGAGAAUAAUUUGAUGCACGUGUGCGUUAUUGCAUGUAUCGUAUGAAUAAGGACCGGCUAAUUCCGUGCCAGCAGCCGCGGUAAUACGGAAGGUCCAGGCGUUAUCCGGAUUUAUUGGGUUUAAAGGGAGUGUAGGCGGUUUGUUAAGCGUGUUGUGAAAUUUAGAUGCUCAACAUUUAACUUGCAGCGCGAACUGUCAGACUUGAGUACACGCAACGUAUGCGGAAUUCAUGGUGUAGCGGUGAAAUGCUUAGAUAUCAUGAAGAACUCCGAUUGCGAAGGCAGCAUACGGGAGUGUAACUGACGCUUAAGCUCGAAGGUGCGGGUAUCGAACAGGAUUAGAUACCCUGGUAGUCCGCACAGUAAACGAUGGAUGCCCGCUGUUAGCGCCUGGCGUUAGC
rnacentral:rRNA from 1 species